CCUGCUAUUGCUGCUCAGGGCAUAGGAUGAAACCAACUCCUCGUGACAUAUUAUUACAGCACAGAUUCAUGAAUCUCUUAAAACUCAAGAACUCCGGCAGUUGUGACAUCAUAAGCAAGACACUUCAAACGUAGACCAGAUCAAACCCAGAGUGAAAAAGAGAGUUGAGCACCAAGUUCCAGCCCUAGCCUAAAAGCUAUGGAUAAUUCUCUGAUGUGAUUGUAAGAGUCAGCUUUUUUUCUGCCUGAAAGUGUAGUUCUUGAUAAGUCCACCAUACUAUAAUGGACAUCCACACACCUAAGACUAUAUGGACAGCACAAACUUGACUCGGUGGGCGAAGACAACAUUAAUGGGCACAAGUGGCAUGUGUAAGAAAGGGAAAGUGAUUCAGGAAGGUGCUGGAGGAGGAGGAGGAGGUAAAAACGUCCAGCAUACAUUGUAUGUGACUUUUCCAGGAUUGAGAAGUUAGCAGAAUGUACUUUCCUGCAGCCUAUGGGAGGAGAUCAAAGAAACAGAAGUAGACUGUAUAGUCUCCUGGAUAACCCUUGACAACAACAACUCUGGAGAAGGAUUUGUAUAUCUGGUAUUAAUAAAAGAAGGAAAAUCACCAAAA